UAUUUUAUCAUGUUGUAAGCCGCCCCGAGGUUUCGGCAAGGGGCGGCAUAGAAAUGUUAUAAUAAUAAUAAAUAAUAAUAAUAAAUAUGUUAGAAUAUACAUGAGGAAUUUGGCAGAACAGCUGCUUCUCUUGCCUCUUUCUGGCCAUGUGCUGCAUGCCCCUUUUCACAUUGCCUAUACGCCCUGCCCUUCCAAACAACUGUACCAGUCCGUUGCAGCAAAACAAUUAUGGCCUAAGCAUUCAUGGACUAGAGCCCCUUUCAUCCAAGGUAUGAUGUGCUGUCCUCAUUUGCCUGAUGUAUACUUGGUUAGUCGGGCAGAAAUGGCAAUGAAGUGCAUACUGUACAGUCUGUGACAAUUUUGUGAAAAGCUUACGUGUGUACAAAACAAGUACUGUGAUACUGUGUUGUUAUUUCCCCAGAACAAUAUGCAAAACGAGAUCUUAUGAGUUGUUUCAGCACCCAAUGACUAGUCCAGGCUCACUGUUAAGUGUUCACCUAUAACCCAUGAUUUUAUUGCUAGCUACUGGCAUAAAAUGCAAUUCAAUCCAGGGUCAGAGAACAAUGUCUGCCUUUCAUGUAAGGUAUGUAGAAAAGACUGCCUCAAGAUGCAGAGGAAAUUAUGAUAGGCAUGUCAUUAAAAGGUGGUUUUUUUACAUCCAUUAUAGAGCUGUAAGCCAAUCCAUUUUUGUCUGGAGAUGUCAAUAAAUGAUUUUGCCUGUAUUUGGAGUGAUUUAUUUAGUGAAGGGGUAGUUGGAAGUCUUGGGCACUUGCUAAGCACACUGAUAUUUUGCUCAUGGCACCUGCAACAGAGAGUGGAAACUGGGCAAAUUCAUCUCCACGAUGCGGAAUAUAAGGCAACUGGCCCUAACAAAGACAACUGUGCUUCACAAAGUCAAUUUUAGUAGGUAUAUCAAUAUAUUUAACUGUGUAAACUUCGUGGAGAGGAGAAGAUAAGCUGUCUUGAGAGUUGAUGACAACAGCAUCAGCGAAUGGCAGCUGAUCGCCUGGAUUUCAGUCAGGAGUAUUUUUCAGUCCUACCUGGAAAUAGAAGGACCUGAACCUGGGACUGAUUUAAAACUUGCAUUCCAUAUACUUUAAAAUUUAUGUGAUAUUUGAAAUGUUCACAAAAUAUGAAUUUCUGCUUGCUUUUAUUUCACUUUGUCUGUAAUCCAAGACAAAGAAUAGCCACAUUCUCUGUUCUACAAAAUUGUCACAACCAGCUAGAUCACUGGUUGUGACAAAUCACUUCCAAUGCACCCUUAAAACUGUGUUACAUCUUUGGAAACUGGCCUCUAACAUUUUCAUCUAAUUUGUAUAUCAAGCAAUGAGAAGAAAGUUUGAGGAGGUCUUUCCCUUUUCUUCUCCUUCCUUAAAGAUAUCUUACUAUUCCACAUUGUGAUUUAUCCAACUAUACAAAUGUUCCACAUUCUGAGACAUCCAGAAAUGCUCUCUUACAGCAAUGGAUUACAGUUCCAUUUCAAUAAGAUUGAAAUCUUAUUUCUAAUAUUAUGACCAUUAAUAGCGUUGUCAUAUUUUUAUUAAUAAAAGCAUAAAUAUAUUCUGAAAAAAGAACAGUCCAAAAUGUAACUAUUAGGGUUAUAGGAGAUCAGAAAACCAUAAUUUUAAACUAUUUUUGGGAUAGGAUUUGGGACUGCGGGUAGCUCCUAAAAAGUUCAGACCACCACCAGAGUAGAUAUUUUGCCCAUGGUUACUGUCAUAUAUACAGUCUCCCCUGUAAAUAUAUAGACCUGUAGACCUAGAAUACACAACAACGACCUCUUCUGUCAUCUCCCCAUGGCAUGAAUCCUUCCUCUACUGUUCACCUCCACAUCUGUAAAUUAAAGAUAACCCUCUUUCUGUUAAAAAUGAGUUGGCAUCUCUGCCUGAAGAACAGUGCAUGGCAACAAAAAUAUUUACUAAAUCAGAUGUUUAAAAGGCCACAACCCUUCUUCCCUAAAAGGAUGGUUUGAUUUUCUCUCUGCAUAAGACAACUUGUUGAACUUCAAACCAAAAGUGUUUGUUUUGUCCAGUUCCUAUAGCAAGUAUUAAUAUUUACCAAUUUCAUAAGUGUUCCUGAGCUUUAUAACAUAAAGAUUAAAGCACUCAGAUUAAUUACAUGGACUUCACAACUGUACAAAAUUAUGCAUGGUAUGCAGAAAGCAGACAGGAAGGAUUUUUUUCUCCCUCCCUCAUAAUACUAGAAACUGGGGUUAUCCCAUAAAGUUGAUUGGUGAGAGAUAAAGACAGAUACAAAGAAGUACUUCACACAGUGCAUACUAAAAUUAUGGGAAUGUACUGCCACAAGAUGUAAUUAUGAGCACCAAUUUGGAUGGCUUAUAAGGGGAUUAGACAAAUUCAUGGAUGUCAAGGAUGUAAUUGACUACUAGUUCAGAUGACUAGAUGUACUGUAUUAUGAGAGGCAUCAUGCCUAGCUGCAUCACUUGCUGAGGAAAAUGUGUAUGCAAGGGGUUUUGCACUCUAGUCUUAUUUGUGAGUUUCCCACAAGCACUUACCUAACCAUGAUGUCAACAGGACACUGGAUUCUAUGGACCCUCGGUCCAAGCCAGCAGAGUGCUUCUGUUCAUUCCUCUUCCUCAGGCUAAAUGCAUUCAUGGCCUUUGCUGGCACAUAUACCAAAAUAAAGUGGAAUAUCCUUCACAUAUAUGCAAUGUCCUUCUUUUUAAAUAUCCAUAUACAUGAACUACACCUGGAUGUCAAAUGUCCUAGUAUGUUGAUUAUAAAUUAUGGUCUUUAGUUCCUAUCCUUCUCAGACUAUUUAUUUACCUUGGGUAAUGAACAUGAGCGCACAAUAUUUGUUUUUGUAGAAACAAAAACCUUACUUGUUGGCUGUCGUUUCUGCUAUCCGGGUGAUAUUACUAUGCAGGAAAAUAUGCAACAGAUAAACUGUUAGUCAAAACUGGAGAAUGGUAGUUCUGUUAACUUGCAGUUAAAUAGUUGAAGCAGACAUAAGUUUCAUGUUGUUCAGUCCAACUCUCAAUGGCUGGACUUAUGCUAAAAGGGCAACAAGAGAAGCUCUGUAGGUAGACAUUGCUCUGCAGUGGAGAAAACCAAGAAGACUAAGGGAGAAUAAAAUGAUGUCAACAUUACUGUAAAAGAAGAAUUUUCAAAAAUGCUACAACUGAAAAAAAGCCUUAGGUUUGGCCAAGAAAGAUAAUCCAGUAUCUCCAGAACCAUGAUUUUGUCCAGAAUAAAUGUAUACAUCUGGAAGAGAAUCUUGGUUAUGUUUCGAAUGCUCAAUGUUGCAUUCAGAACUAUUCAGUAGCAUAGUUUUAUUUGGAUUAAAAAAUAGAUCAUGCAAUGAUCAAAAUGUAGAUGAGGCAAAGCGAAGACACUGCAAGCACUGCAGGGCAUAGACUAAAAGUUCAAAAUGGUCUCAAUAACAUAGAGAAUUCUUGGCAGACGUGAACAAAUGAAAUUAAACAAAUAAACAGGAGUUAUACAUAAGAACCAACAUAUGGAAGUAAUUGGAUAGGAAAAAAGACCAAAGGGUUACAGUGGAGAAUAAACUGAACCAGAACCGGUAAUAUUAUCCAAGGGCUACUUUGAUUAUAGUACUAAUGUUCUGUUAUAGCACUACUGAACUCAGCCCUUGUAUCACCUCUUUUGGAAGAAACAAUCACAUUCAGUGCAAUUGCAGGAAUUACUUUGCUUGUCUUUAUGCACUUCUCGGCUUUCUUUAAACUUUCUCAGGGCGUGUAGUCAUGUGGUCUGUGAUCAUCAUCAUGUGAUCUGCAUAUAUUGGACUGUGGUGUUUCCUUCUUCCUGGUUAAAAAGCAAUCCAUAAAAUGCCAAUCUGCAAGGACAUGUAUGUGGCCUUCUCUGCUUUUUCAGAUAUUUCUGUCAAGCUGUUUAACAGCUUGAGAACUGCUUAAGCUUCCCUUUCUUACCAGUGCCCCUUUUACGUUCUUAGAUGAACAGCAAAAACAACAAUGGUUCUGUUGUUAUAUGCUUCAACAUGAAAUUGCUUAUAAAAGUUAUACCUAUUGAGCUAAUGGCACAGAAGAGAAAGAUUAAAGCUAUCACCAGCAAUCUGACUGAGUCUACAGAUGUUGACUUUUUCUUGAUAAUGUAGCACUUAGAUAUUUAGAUUCCACUGUGAGGAUACAGAUGAACCCUCCCACUCCCAGAAUACAUUAAAUACAAGGCAAGGGUUUACAGAACUAUGCAGGCUAUCCUUGUCUGCAUAAAGAAGAAUGUCUGCACAUAUAUAAUGGAAAAGCACCUUCAUACAAAGAAGAUUCCUGCUUGGUCAGCAGGUGUGUGUGUGUGUGUGUGUGUGUGUGUAAUCCUCUGUGUGUAAAGCCGUAUAUGCAGAGACCUCUUUCUGACAAACAUCAAAUGGACAAAUACCUACUCCACGUGUUUCCAAGCCCAUCUGCAUGUUCAUUCAAGACAUCAGGGCUUACGUGUUUCCCUCUAAGGAAGGGCCUGGAUCCUUGCAUCCCAAUCCAGUCAUCCUGGGGUUCCUGAGAUGGCCAUCCCUCUUCCUCUGGCUCUGGUCUUUUCCCCUGACCAUGAAUCAUUUGGCGGUUUCCUGGCACUUGUGAAAUUGUAGGAUGUGGUUUCAUCCACAUAUAAAAUGGAGCAGAUUUAUAUGUGGUUUCAUCUUUUCAGUGUGUCCUAUGAAUGACUUUUCUUCCUUGAAUAAUUAACAGAGCAUUAAAAAUAAAACAUUUUAUUAAGAACCUGCUUAGACACUGGUCUUCCUAUGGAGAAAUGCUAUUUGUUGUGAAAUAUCAGUGGCAGUCUUGAUGCUCUCUCCAGAAGAUGUAGGGUCUAUGUAACUGUGCCAAGACUCUUUCUUUAAACACACUGUAUUUAAUUCAAAGUUAUAUUUUUUCUUAGGCUUAGCUGCUUCAAAUGCAAGAUUUUAUGUGUCCUUGGAAAGAAAUUCAAAAAGGAGGCCUUGGGCUGACUUCUUGUGAUUUUAAAAAAACUGUUUGACAAGGUGACUUUUCCCCAUUCAAGUCCAUGCUAUUACAAAUGAUUGACAUUAUCCCUAGUUUUGCAAGUUUUCACAAAGGAGAGAUUUAAAAAUUGAUGUACAUUAAAUAUGAGUGGUUAUUACACUGAAAAUAGAAGAGGCGGCAUUAUAUAUUUCAAUUAAUUUCCUAGAAUAUUAAACCAAUCAGACAUGUUCUUCACUCCAGGCAACAAAAUAAUUUUGGGUGUCGGCAAAAUUGAUCUCUGUUAAUCUACACAGAGGUCAAAUAUUUCUGGAACUGGAAAAAACAGAAACAGCAGAAAGAUAGUUUGGGACAAGAUGAUAAAUGUUACCAAAUACUUUACUUCUUGUUUUGGCUACCUAUGGAUGCUUUACUAUUUCCAUAUUACUGAGUUUUUCUAGGUAGCAGCCCUGUCCACAUUUGCAUUUCGAUAAAUCCUUUUAAAAAUUGGAAGAAAGCAUGUUUGACUCUGAGCUGCACAACAGCCUUAAGAAUCAAAGUCUAGCUGUCCCUAACUUGAGGGAGAAAGAUAAAUGUUUUAUUACAAUAUUGUAUUUAUUUCAUAAGGAUAUGCAUGCACAUUUUGGUGGGGCUCUGAGAUCCAAGUGGGUUUCUGUGCAAGUCACAGGCUGUCCAGUUCGCUCUGUGUGGGCUCUGUGUAUCUCUGUGUGAACCAGUUUGUGCAAGGAAAUAACCUGUGAGAAACAUUGCCUCAUAAUUAAGAGGAGAAGGCAGUCUAAUUACACACAUUAACUCACAUGCAAAAGAGCCACUGUUUUGAAGUGUGUGUUUUGAGUUCAGUGUAAAUUAUGAAUAAUUCAAGCAAUACUUUAUUGUUUUAUUUUAUUGUUUGGUGGAUUUCAUCCUUUGCUUGUUCUUCUUGCCAAGAAUCUAGUGGCUGGAUUUUGUGCUCCCACCCCCAUUGCCUUUCCCUUUGUGUCAUGUUAGUCAGAUUGGAGUCCUGUGGGCAGAGACUACCUCAUUUUCUACCAUUGUAAGCCAUUCUAGGAGCAUUUUUGGCUCAAAAAUGAGAUUAGAAUGCUAUAAACAUAUAAAUAACAAAGUGAUGUCUGAAAAAGAGAAUGAAAGUUUUUGUUCACUAUUUUGUUGAAUGUUUCCACUAGCUUCAAUAUCUUUCACUUCUUUUCACUUUAACAUUAAAAUUUAGGAAUUAUGCUAUCAUCAUACUGUCAUCCUAUUAGGAAGUAUACUAUCAUCCCAUUUCUAACUUUGGCCUUCUCUGAAUUUCUGUUUGGAUUAGGAAGAUGUAUGCGUUUAAAUUUAUAGUUAUUUCUGUUGCAAAGCUUACCAAAUGUUCUUCACUUCCAAGAUUCCUUCCAGAAGCCCAAAGUGUUAUUUAUAAGCAUUUAUAACUAAAGUCUUUCUUCCAUUUUUCCCCUACCAAAAAAUAAAAUAAAAUCUUGCAUAUAUCGGAAGAAUAUGCUUUGAAGUAAUCCAAGGAAGAAAAAACAUGGAACCCACCUGGAACCAGUUUGGCCAAAUAGGCACUACACUCUUAUCCAGUGCCCUCCUACUUUUCAAAGCAUGCCAAAGAAAACUCAAUAGACAGAGAGGGAGAUCAAGUGAAGCAAUAUUCAGUUUCCACAUCAACUGUGCACAUUUCAAGCUAAAUGAAGGAAGGAAGGACGGACGGAUGGAUGGACGGGGAUCAUUCCGUGAGGCAGGACCAUCAAGGGAAGUCACACUUGGCACUUGCAGCGAGCCACCUGGAGUUGUCCCUCCCCUUGACCACUGCAACCCGCUUCUUCAUCUUCUCCAGCCCAGAAAAUGGGAGCGCCUCUUUGCUCCUUCCAGCCUUCUCCUCUCAAAACGUAUUGGACUGCAACUGGCUAGGGAACUGCAAUCCAACACAUUUAGAGGGUGCCGCAUUGGGAAGUGCUGGCUGACUGGCUUUCCAUCUGUCAAACAAGCAACAGGUAUCAAUCAAUGAAAAGAAGAAUAAAAAGCCAUGGCUGACCUGCUCUACAAGAAUAUUGGAGGAAUUGAAACUAGGUGAUGCAAUUGACUGCUGGAACAUACUUCUAAUGUUGACUCCUAUGGGAAAAAUCAGAAACAGAAGCACAUGAACAGACUUCUGCUCAAACAAUGGGGCUUUGCCAUCCUCUUCCCCACCUGAAGGUUUCUGUGUCUCAAAAAACAAUUUGGUCUAGGAGGGCUCCCAAUCUUUGGAACAGGUUUUCAAGGCAUGUGGAGAGGAAUUUUUUUUCUGUGCUGCUGGCAAAAGGAUUUACUAUUUUUUCCCAACAUUUAUUACUCACUCUAUAGCUAAGAGCUCACAGGGCAACAUACAGUAAAAACAAACAUAAAAUACAUAUACUGAAACAGAACGAUAAUAAAUCCAUCAAAAGAAGCAGAAGCUAAGAAAAUAUCAGAAAAUAUAAAGAAAUAGUUUCUUAAAUGACAGCAUUACAAGGCAUGCACA